AACCAGUGAUGAUAAAAGAUUCCGCCAAAUGACUGCUCAUGAAAUUAACAACAUACCGUUCUAUACUGAGGUU